rnacentral:rRNA from 1 species
GACGAACGCUGGCGGCGUGCCUAAUACAUGCAAGUUGAGCGCUGAAGGUUGGUACUUGUACCGACUGGAUGAGCAGCGAACGGGUGAGUAACGCGUGGGUAAUCUGCCUUUGAGCGGGGGACAACAUUUGGAAACGAAUGCUAAUACCGCAUAAAAACUUUAAACACAAGUUUUAAGUUUGAAAGAUGCAAUUGCAUCACUCAAAGAUGAUCCCGCGUUGUAUUAGCUAGUUGGUGAGGUAAAGGCUCACCAAGGCGAUGAUACAUAACCGACCUGAGAGGGUGAUCGGCCAAAUUGGGACUGGGACACGGGCCAAACUCCUACGGGAGGCAGCAGUAGGGAAUCUUCGGCAAUGGACGAAAGGCUGACCGAGCAACGCCGCGUGAGGGAAGAAGGUUUUCGGAUCGUAAAACUCUGUUGGUAGAGAAGAACGUUGGUGAGAGUGGAAAGCUCAUCAAGUGACGGUAACUACCCAGAAAGGGACGGCUAACUACGUG